CACCUGGCCCACAGAAAGGUAUAGCUAAACGGCCCUAAACCGUUUCCCAUUCAUUCUCUACGGUAGUGCUAAAUCACUACGGAUGUAAUACAUUUUUGCCCACUACGAACUUGUGGCGCUGUUCCUAGUUUUUUAAAGACGCGCAGUCUGAAAAACCUUUAUCUCAGGCAAACUUAUGUGGUGACGGGACAACUCACCAGGGACUCGCUACAUUUAUUAUUUUAAUGUUCGUUAAUCAAAGGAGCUGUCUAAAGAAGCCAGACGGAUUAAGGACGCCGCCACUUGCAGGACAAGUCUGCGCCUAUGAGGGAGGACCUUGUGCGGCAGAAUGCUCUGGCUAUGGUCCGGAGCUGGCGGAGGUGCUAUGAGACUACAUCCUGCAGUUUGGAAAGUAUAAAGGUGGCUUUUGGUGAAUGAUGUAGGCUACACUACUCUUAUCAAGAAUCUUUGUAAGGAGGAGGCUUUAGGUAUCUGUAUGGCCGAGGGGCAUAGCAAGUACAGCCUACUGUAAUUUGUGAAUUAUGCUCUCAGUUUUGCAGAGAUCCAGUCUCUCUUCUCAACUAGGGCCGGUGGAGUGGGUGUUGUGGCAGCCUCAUCAGAAGACGAGCAGCUGGUUGGCUUUGGCUCUCAGGCCAAGAUAUUGGAUAACAGAGUUGAUGGCUACGCAGACUUCGCCAUGGGGAGGAUACUUGAUGUCUUGCUCCGGAGUCCUGAGGUAUCAUAUUUGGGGGCUCGUGUCCGGGAUUCCAACAACCUCAUCGACUCUCCACGCUGGGCUAAUCAUCAGGACCUCAACCAUACGGAGGAGUCACACAUACAGUAUUUCCCUAACGAAUGUUCUAGUCCCCUGGGCGCAGUCACCUUCCUUAAGUCUGUAAAGGAGAGCUAGUGUCUCUCCCGAAGCCCCAAAGCGCGUUCGGUGGAAGAAGACGAGAAGGCCUCUGAAGGAACGGUAUAAAAGGAAGAGUGGCCUCUGGGCGGGGAAACAUAGCUAGGGAAAAUAUUUCUAUGAGACUGUUUUUCUAAAGACCUCAAACUUGAAUUGGAAGGAGGCCAGGGCCUGCCAGCGAGGAGAGCCGAGAGUGAAGGAAUUGAAUUAGACUAUAGGGGUUGGACUCCGAGCUGUUUGUGAGUAUAUUGUUUGUUUGUUGUGCGUACACGCUAGUAUAGUUUUUCUUGGGGUUGAGACUAAC
ensembl:lncRNA